UACGGAGGGAGGUAGCGUUAUUCGGAAUUACUGGGCGUAAAGCGCACGUAGGCGGCUUUGUAAGUUAGAGGUGAAAGCCUGGAGCUCAACUCCAGAAUUGCCUUUAAGACUGCAUCGCUUGAAUCCAGGAGAGGUGAGUGGAAUUCCGAGUGUAGAGGUGAAAUUCGUAGAUAUUCGGAAGAACACCAGUGGCGAAGGCGGCUCACUGGACUGGUAUUGACGCUGAGGUGCGAAAGCCAGGGGAGCAAACGGG
rnacentral:rRNA from 1 species